AUGCGGAAAAAAACCCGUCUAGGCAGCUCCUACUUAGUUCACAUUUACGAUCCCUUUCUGUACCUUGUUAUUGAUUAUGUCCUAGAGGUGAGGGAAACGAGGGAUCUUACGGGUGAAUCUGUUUCAAGACCGAACCAGCAAGGGACUAGAACUGAACACCCACACCCAGCUCGCUCAAAAAGAAGACGCACUUCUUCCAUCAAGGCUGCCUCCAAAGUAGUUUUAAAGACUUCAACAUAUCCCAACAAGAGGAAUGUUGCGUAUGGUACUAUUCGGAGUAAUGAUCCAAGAACUAAGGUUGGUGGUAUUGAGUUAGGUGUUGAAUUUGCCCUUGUGCGCAUAGAUCAACCUAUAGUUGAUAAUGAGGAGUUGGUAAGGGAAGUUUCUGAUUGCAAGACAUUUAGUGAGGCUUUCACUUCAUGA
rnacentral:rRNA from 1 species